rnacentral:rRNA from 1 species
CCCUACGGGGGGCAGCAGUGAGGAAUAUUGGUCAAUGGGCGGAAGCCUGAACCAGCCAAGUCGCGUGAGGGACUCCGGCCCUCCGGGUCGUCCCCCUCUUUUGCCGGGGCGCACGGGCCGGGACGAGUCCCGGUCCGGAGAGUACCCGGAGAAAAAGCAUCGGCUAACUCCGUGCCAGCAGCCGCGGUAAUACGGAGGAUGCGAGCGUUAUCCGGAUUUAUUGGGUUUAAAGGG